ACAAGCUGAGGGCUCCCACUGAUUCCACAUUAUGUGCCUCCUCUUGCCCAUGGAAGGAAUCCAGCUUCUUGGUUCUUCACUGUCCAACCCAGUUUAGUGGCUGGCCAUUCCACAGAGAGGAUCCUCCACACUACCUGAGCCCUGAUGUCUCUGGCUCCAAAGGACGCAGCUCUGCUCAUCCCCCCUGAGGCCCAUCAUGAGUUGCUGUGGCUGUGGAAGCCUGCUGUCCUGGGAUGGAGACUCUUCCCACUGCCCUGUCCCUUCAGUUUCAGCAGAAGCAUGAUCCUGCUCCAUGUGGAUCCCUGAAGCAGCAGAUCUGGAACUCCGCUGAUGCUGGGGCCUUCAGGGACCACGAGAAACCCAUCUCAAUGAUGAAUCCUGGGCUUUUUUUACCCCUUGGGACAGUCCUGGUUUCAAACAUUUACCUCGGAAAGAGCACUCAACAGCUGCCACGUGGCUGCCCUGAGGUUUGGGCUGAAACAACAUGACUAUUAUACCUA